AGCUCAGGUUUCUCUUCAUUCACACGUAAAUCUUUUGCCUUUUACUAAAGAUUUCCAUGGAGAGAACCUCUGAUGAGAUCACUUUUUUGCAGGCUGUGUUGUUGCAAAGCU